AAGCUUUUGUGAUUUAGCGAUUGUAGACUUAACUAAUUGCAUAGUCACAAAAGUGAUC
rnacentral:pre_miRNA from 1 species